AACGAACGCUGGCGGCAUGCCUAACACAUGCAAGUCGAACGAGACCUUCGGGUCUAGUGGCGCACGGGUGCGUAACGCGUGGGAACCUGCCCUUAGGUUCGGAAUAACUCCCCGAAAGGGGUGCUAAUACCGGAUAAUGUCUUCGGACCAAAGAUUUAUCGCCUUUGGAUGGGCCCGCGUUGGAUUAGCUAGUUGGUAGGGUAAAAGCCUACCAAGGCGACGAUCCAUAGCUGGUCUGAGAGGAUGAUCAGCCACACUGGGACUGAGACACGGCCCAGACUCCUACGGGAGGCAGCAGUGGGGAAUAUUGGACAAUGGGCGAAAGCCUGAUCCAGCAAUGCCGCGUGAGUGAUGAAGGCCUUAGGGUUGUAAAGCUCUUUUACCCGGGAUGAUAAGGACAGUACCGGGAGAAGAAGCUCCGGCGAACUCCGU
rnacentral:rRNA from 1 species